rnacentral:rRNA from 1 species
CUCAACGACCGUACCGCAAACCGACACAGGUGCGCGAGAUGAGUAUUCUAAGGCGCUUGAGAGAACUCAGGAGAAGGAACUCGGCAAAUUGACACCGUAACUUCGGAAGAAGGUGUGCCCUAUUAGUGUGAAGUGAACAACGGAGCAUGAAUGGGUUGCAAAAAAUCGGUGGCUGCGACUGUUUAUUAAAAACACAGCACUCUGCAAACACGAAAGUGGACGUAUAGGGUGUGACGCCUGCCCGGUGCUGGAAGAUUAAAUGAUGGGGUGCAAGCUCUUGAUUGAAGUCCCAGUAAACGGCGGCCGUAACUAUAACGGUCCUAAGGUAGCGAAAUUCCUUGUCGGGUAAGUUCCGACCUGCACGAAUGGCGUAACGAUGGCCACACUGUCUCCUCCUGAGACUCAGCGAAGUUGAAAUGUUUGUGAUGAUGCAAUCUCCCCGCGGAAAGACGGAAAGACCCCAUGAACCUUUACUGUAGCUUUGUAUUGGACUUUGAACAGAUCUGUGUAGGAUAGGUGGGAGGCUUUGAAGCAGGGUCGCUAGAUCUUGUGGAGCCAACGUUGAAAUACCACCCUGGUGUGUUUGAGGUUCUAACCUAGGUCCAUUAUCUGGAUCGGGGACAGUGCAUGGUAGGCAGUUUGACUGGGGCGGUCUCCUCCCAAAGCGUAACGGAGGAGUUCGAAGGUACGCUAGUUACGGUCGGACAUCGUGACGAUAGUGCAAUGGCAUAAGCGUGCUUAACUGCGAGACUGACAAGUCGAGCAGAUGCGAAAGCAGGACAUAGUGAUCCGGUGGUUCUGUAUGGAAGGGCCAUCGCUCAACGGAUAAAAGGUACUCUGGGGAUAACAGGCUGAUACCGCCCAAGAGUUCAUAUCGACGGCGGUGUUUGGCACCUCGAUGUCGGCUCAUCUCAUCCUGGGGCUGUAGCCGGUCCCAAGGGUAUGGCUGUUCGCCAUUUAAAGAGGUACGUGAGCUGGGUUUAAAACGUCGUGAGACAGUUUGGUCCCUAUCUUCCGUGGGCGCUGCAGAUUUGAGGAAGCCUGCUCCUAGUACGAGAGGACCGGAGUGGACACACCUCUGGUGUAUCGGUUGUCACGCCAGUGGCAUUGCCGAGUAGCUAAGUGUGGAAGAGAUAACCGCUGAAAGCAUCUAAGCGGGAAACUCGUUUCAAGAUGAGAUCUGCCGGGGCCUUGAGCCCCCUGAAGAGUCGUUCAAGACCAGGACGUUGAUAGGUCAGGUGUGGAAGCGAA